rnacentral:rRNA from 1 species
GGGGGGGGGGGGGUAAGCCCGGUGNGGCAGACACCUCUGCACUCUGAAACGGGCCCGGGCAAGUGNCUUAAUGCGUUAGCUGCAGCACUAAGGGGCGGAAACCCCCUAACACUUAGCACUCAUCGUUUACGGCGUGGACUACCAGGGUAUCUAAUCCUGUUCGCUCCCCACGCUUUCGCUCCUCAGCGUCAGUUACAGACCAGAGAGUCGCCUUCGCCACUGGUGUUCCUCCACAUCUCUACGCAUUUCACCGCUACACGUGGAAUUCCACUCUCCUCUUCUGCACUCAAGUUUCCCAGUUUCCAAUGACCCUCCCCGGUUGAGCCGGGGGCUUUCACAUCAGACUUAAGAAACCGCCUGCGAGCCCUUUACGCCCAAUAAUUCCGGACAACGCUUGCCACCUACGUAUUACCGCGGCUGCUGGCACGUAGUUAGCCGUGGCUUUCUGGUUAGGUACCGUCAAGGUGCAAGCAGUUACUCUUGCACUUGUUCUUCCCUAACAACAGAGCUUUACGAUCCGAAAACCUUCAUCACUCACGCGGCGUUGCUCCGUCAGACUUUCGUCCAUUGCGGAAGAUUCCCUACUGCUGCCUCCCGUAGGAGUCUGGGCCGUGUUUCAGUCCCAGUGUGGCCGAUCACCCUCUCAGGUCGGCUACGCAUCGCCCCCUUGGUGAGCCGUUACCUCCCCAACUACCUAAUGCCCCCCCNGGUCCUCUGUAAGUGACAGGCCAAACCCGUUUUUCAUCCUUGAACCAUUCCGGUCCAGGGACCUUUCCGGUUUUUCCUCCGGUUUCCCCGAAUUAAUUCCGGUUUUCUUCGCCAGGUUUCCCCCGGUUUUACCCCCACGUUGCCCCCUUACAUUCGGGACCUCCUCCCCUUUUGUCCCACAAACUCAAUUUUUUCGGGACCCCCUCCCCCUACUCUCAGCCGGAU